rnacentral:rRNA from 1 species
UACAGAGGUCUCAAGCGUUGUUCGGAUUCAUUGGCGUAAAGGGUGCGUAGGUGGCGUCGUAAGUCGGGUGUGAAAUUUCGGAGCUUAACUCCGAAACUGCAUUCGAUACUGCGGUGCUUGAGGACUGAGAGGAGACUGGAAUUACGGUGUAGCAGUGAAAUGCGUAGAGAUCGUAAGGAAGACCAGUGGCGAAGGCGGGUCUCUGGACAGUUCCUGACACUGAGGCACGAAGGCCAGGGGAGCAAACGG